AUACGGAGGGGGCUAGCGUUGUUCGGAAUUACUGGGCGUAAAGCGCGCGUAGGCGGAUUGUUAAGUCGGGGGUGAAAUCCCGGGGCUCAACCCCGGAACUGCCUCCGAUACUGGCAGUCUAGAGGUCGAGAGAGGUGAGUGGAAUUCCGAGUGUAGAGGUGAAAUUCGUAGAUAUUAGGACGAACACCAGUGGCGAAGGCGGCUCACUGGCUCGAUUCUGACGCUGAGGUGCGAAAGCGUGGGGAGCAAACAGGAUUAGAAACCCGAGUAGUCC
rnacentral:rRNA from 1 species